GACCACUCCGGUGGCCUAGUGAUUAGAGCGUCCGCCUCAGAUGCGAGAGGUCGUGGGUUCAAUCCCCAGCGGAGUCA